rnacentral:tRNA from 1 species
AUUUAAAUAAUUUAAUAAAAAUAUUGAUUUGUGGAGUCAAAAAUAUGGUUAGUAUCAUUUUAGAUC